rnacentral:rRNA from 1 species
AACGUAGGGGACAAGCGUUAUCCGGAUUUACUGGGCGUAAAGGGCGCGUAGGCGGCCUGGUAAGUAGGGGGUGAAAUCCUGCGGCUUAACCGCAGGGCUGCCUUCUAAACUGUCAGGCUUGAGCACGGUAGAGGCAGAUGGAAUUCCCGGUGUAGCGGUGGAAUGCGUAGAGAUCGGGAAGAACAUCAGUGGCGAAGGCGGUCUGCUGGGCCGUUGCUGACGCUGAGGCGCGACAGCGUGGGGAGCAAACAGG